rnacentral:rRNA from 1 species
AUUGAACGCUGGCGGCAGGCCUAACACAUGCAAGUCGAACGAGUGGCGGACGGGUGAGUAAUGUCUGGGAAACUGCCCGAUGGAGGGGGAUAACUACUGGAAACGGUAGCUAAUACCGCAUACCAUCGGAUGUGCCCAGAUGGGCUUCGCUAGUAGGUGGGGUAACGGCUCACCUAGUCGAAGAUCCCUAGCGGGUCUGAGAGGAUGACCAGCCACACUGGAACUUAGACACGGUCCAGACUCCUACGUGAGGCAGCAGUGGGGAAUAUUGCACAAUGGGCGCAAGCCUGAUGCAGCCAUGCCGCGUGUAUGAAGAAGGCCUUCGGGUGGUAAAGUACUUUCAGCGAGGAGGCGUUACUCGCAGAAGAAGCACCGGCUAACUCCGUGCCAGCAGCCGCGGUAAUUC